GGGCUGGCUUUAGCAACACAUUUACUAAAAUUGAUACGAUAUAGGGAAGAUUAGCCUGGCCCCUGUGCAAGGAUGGCACACACAUUCGUAAAAUGUUCUGCAUUUUU